AAAUGUACUUUGCUGUUUCUUUCACAGUUCAAAAAAUCUAACUAAUAUGCCUGUGGAUUAUUCUUCUGGGCUAAGCAUUUAAAAGUUGACUUCGGAUUAGCUGAGGGAUAGACAUGAAAAAAUACUUUGAUAAAGCUGGAGAAUCAGUGCGCUGAAUAUUUAAACCGCCAAGAGAAGCAGAGAGAAUUGUGAGCAAUGCUAAUCAAUAGAGCAUAUGUUUGGGAUGAAAUCAGCUAACCAGAGUUAGGAAUAAUAACGUAAAAAUGUAAUAUAAUUAUAAUAACAUACUGAUAUUUUGGAAUGAAAGUAGGUCAGUUCUUUCAAGGCCUCUCUGGGCUUGUGUUUCUACUCUAUAGUAGUUUAUUUAUUUUUUAUCCCCUUUUAAGUGUCAGUCUCCUUUUGAACAUAGUUGCAGCUUUACUGUUGCUUUUUAUAGUGUGUUCCACAUGUUAACCCUUUAUAAAUGCUUUUUUUUUUUUUUUCAACCAGUGCAACAUAUACCCAAACUAUAGUGGAAUGCUUGUAACCACAAAGGCUUAAAACUUCACUAAUGAAUUAGUAACAAGAAGCCUGACAUUUUGCUUAUUAAAGGGUGGAGAAAGGGAAGGAAAUAAUGAUUUAUGUUCCUUUUUUUUUCCUUCGAUUAACUCACAUUUGUGUACUGAAAAAUAUCAGAGCCAGGCAAUGAUAGGAGGAUAAAAUAAUCCAGAUGUCUUCAGUCCAUGCCAAAAAGAAAGCCUUUUACGCCCAGAUCUUCCAAUGAUGUCUACUCCAUUGUGGCACGAUUGUGAACACUGCUCUGCUACAGAUUAAAAAAAAUCUGAAAGCUGAGUACAUGAGAGGGUGGCAUCAUCUGCAUUUCAGUGGCCUGCCUUCAGUAUGAAAGCUAUCUUCUUAUCUCUCUUUUUUGUACCCUUACAGGAACAGAAGCUGACACAAGCCAUUUUUUGGAGGGUUGUGUGUUGGAUUGAGGGGUGAUUUGCCAUCUGCCAUCAGCCUUUAUUUUGCAUAUCAAUAAAAAUAAUAAUAAUAAACUAAUUUCAGGCAUAUAUGAUACAGUUAAUGUGGAAGGCCUAUUGUUAGAGGAAAAAACCAGUAUAUUCUUAUCAGUAGCUUUAAACUGCUAUUCAUCAUUUCUAAAGGGCAAUUAUUUGGAAUCUAUUAAACUGGAAUUCAUAAUACCCCUGCAUACUGAAUUUUAAAUAGAAAUCUGUAUUUAGAUGAAGGAAUACAUUAGUAUAAAUAAUUAGAGCAGUGAAAAUCCAUGACUUCAUUUUUCACUCACAUUUUCUUUUGCACAGGAUAUGAAGUACCAAGGAUCUGAGCAUUUAAAGGAAAUUUCCCAACAAGAGAAUUAGUCCACUGAAUUUGAUUUACAGUGAACAACUAACCAACAGCAUGAGAAUAUGAUCUCAGUAUCUGCUGCUCUAUAAGAUCCUGCUAUUUAUUAAUUUAUAGCCACAAUAACACAUCUGUUUGGAGGUAAAGAUCAUGCUUCAGCCUGAUGCUUUGUUGCUUGUUACUCUGUUUCUGCAGAAGCAGAAAUUACGGAUUAAUAGGGAGAUAUUAAAUGACUUCCCUGCACUACCCUCUGCAGCACUGUGGAGAGGAUGCCCUGGGUGGGCAUAAUGGUCACCAGAACUCCCACACAGAGGUCAGGAAGACUGCUAGCCCCUUGGAGUGUUGUAGUGUAGAGGGUGGAAUGGUUUGUAGCUGGGGAAAUACAUUAAUUAAUUAAUUAAUUAAUUAAAAAAAAUCAGGCAGUUAAUUUUUGACAAGUAGUUCUAUUGCCUUGUUAAUAUAGCUUGUUAUUAUGGUUUUAGAGAUGGAGAUACUUAUUUGUCACUCUGUGGUUUUGGGUUGGAUAGAAAAUUCUUCACCAUAUUGAACAACACUGCAUUUUUUGUUGUGAAGAACUUUCCUGAACUGCUUCUCAUUGCUCUGGUCUCUGAUCUUCCUUGCUGUAGGAAGCAGAAGGCCAUUGAUUAAUUCCUAGGUACAGAAACAUGUUAGCAGUCUUGCAAAAGCACUCAUAAACUAGACCUCAAAUAAACUACAUUUCACAAGGUCAGGCUUUGUACAGUUAAGCUAUAUUUGGCCACCUGAUAUCCUGUUUAUGAUACAGUUAUUGAUCCAUUACAGAUGACUACAUGACAAAUUAAUCUAAAUUGAGACUUGUGUACACACGAAACUUAGAUUGAUUUUCUGUCUUCAGCACCUCAAAAAGUAUUUUCUGAGCUGCAUGAUCUAGUAACUAUAGUUUGACAGCACUGAACAUUACAGUUUUAUAAUAAUAAUGAGCAGAUGUGCAUUAAUAGUCAUGGUAAAUUCAAAAUUAUGCCACUAUGGUUUAACUGCAAUUAAAAAAAAUUAAGUUUAAAUUCAUAGUAUAGCAUAUGCUACAUACUUAAGAGGAAUCACACAGCCGCCGUGGGCCUGUGAUUCCUUUUUUCUUAUGCUAUUCCAUGUCAGGACAGACUCAGUACAAGAGAUGUCAGAUAAUUGGGAAAGUCAGACAUAUUGUUUGGAUGUCCAUGUCUAACAUAAUCCUGAUGCAAAAUCUGUAGAUGGAAAAACAUGUAGAAGUUUCCAGCAUGGCUUCUUUAGGUUUCUUGAAAGAAGGCUUAGUGGGAAUUCUUUAGUUUAAAAGAUUUACAUAGAAACCAAGUAACAAAAGAUGGGAUAGGGUAAUGAAUUUUUUUGUGAGUGAAAAUCUAAGAGGGUGGAAGUUCUUGCCUUGCACUAUCAAAAUAAUUGAGUAUGUGUUCAACCUGAGAGCAGAAGAACAAUAUUCUUUUUAAAUGAAACUAUUGAUGUGGUUCAAAGUUAGGCAUGUGCAUAAGAAGCAUGUGCUGAAUUGGACCCAGUUUUCAUCCCUUUACAAAAUCAAUCCUGGCAAGAGUGGCUUGAGAUCAGGUCAAUAGCAUUAGUAGCUCUCAACCUCUAUUAGGAAACUUAGAUACAGAACGGGCAGAUUUCAGAAGAAUUCAUGUUCAUAUUUUAAGCACAUGUUUGAAACACAUCUAUAGAGCCAUGUUCCCCAUUAAUUGUCAUCUUGUUAAGUUUAAUAUAUUAAUGACUUCUCUGUCUUCUGCAGUAUUCAGCACAUCAGAAAGAAUAUCACUACAGAACUGUCUACGCUGUCAGCAGUACAAGUUACAGAAUGAAUUACUACUGAAUCUCAAUUUAGGGAUCAGGAGAGGAUGUGCUGAGUAAGUGAAAACACAGAAGCAAAGCGACAUGCCAUGGCUUUGUGGAUAUGUGGAUACAAGCAAUUACAGCUUAAUAGAUGUGGGUAAGCUGGUGAACAGAUAGAGGUUCUGCACUUCUUCAUGGUUUGCCCAAAGAUCAACAUUCUAAAUAUACCUUAUCUAAGACAACAAAUAAUGAAAUUGUCAAGUGAACUUGAACAUCAGAAUAAAUUUGAGAAAUCUCCUUAUAUCAAAAAGAAGCUUCAGAAAAAAAAUAGCAAGACAAGUUGUAGUUAAGUGCUGAAGAAUGAAAGGAUUGCUUUCCAGCAUUUUUAUUCCAGCUUCAGCAUAUUUUAUUUUAUAUAUAUAUAAAUAUAUAUACACACAUAAUUACAUACAUAUAUACACACACACACAUAUAUCUAUGCAGUGUUUUUCCCUCAAGGAAUAAGCCAUCUUAUUUAUGUCAUAGCUGAGAGGUGUGAAUUUCCUUCGCGCUUUAUCCAGCUUCAUAGAUGAAUCCCUGUUGGCAGAUCACACUGCACAGAAGACUGGUGAGUGACAGAGGCCACUGAUUACUAAUGGCCACAUCAGGAGGAAUUGCACUGUGAGGGAAGAUACCCACUUCCUCCUCAUCCCUAAUUUUGGGGUCUUGUUUCUAGAGAGUCCAUUGGAAGGAUUCACAUGGGGGACAGAGAAAUAAAAUACUAUCCACGUUCAUAAAAAGGUGUUUUCCUAAGCAACCACACUUCCCUCCCCCUCUAAACUCAAGGAGUGAGAAUAAAGCCUCCUGACAGGCUAUUCUCUUACUGUGCCAUGUUUCAAAGCCUUAUAAGGAGAAGAAACUGUGGCAUAAUUAAUACAUUGGAUAGCUGAAGACAUUACUGAAUCGUUAAACUGCAGCAUUUAACUGCAGUUAAAGUAUUCUUGGCCCCUAGGUCUUUACCAUUGUAUAAUCAUGAUCAGCUGUUUUAGAUAAACUAUGGAGAAAGUAAGAUAAAUCUUCCCAAAAUUUACAGUGAAGAAUAAAAUUCAGCAUAUAGCUUUCCCCUGCUCAUGGAAUUGAAUCAAUCAAUACUGCAUUAUGCUAUUGCUGGAGUGCAUAGUAGCAAUCACUGUUUGACAGUAAGGGUAUUUUGCACAGCAGUGAAGGUUAUCUAUAUAAUUUGUUUUAAACCUUUGGGUUCCCUAUGUUAGUCCUUUGGGAGAACUGCAGGAAACCUUGCUCUGUACAUUUUCUGUUUGCUGAAAAUUGUAACAUAGUCAUCAGAAAAAGAAAAAGAGAGAAAGAGAGAAAGAGAGAAAGAGAGAAAGAGAGAAAGAAAGAAAGAAAGAAAGAAAGAAAGAAAGAAAGAAAGAAAGAAAGAAAGAAAGAAAGAAAGAAAGAAAGAAAGAAGGAAAGAAAGAAAGAAAGAAAGAAAGAAAGAAAGAAAGAAAGAAAGAAAGAAAGAAAGAAAGAAAGAAAGAAAAGAAAAAAAAAUCAAAAGGAUAACAAAGCUUUGCUAAUAGGAAUGAUCCAUACACCCAGACAGAUGCGUUUUCCUGUGGACAGUGGAAAGAAUGCAGAUGUAAUUGGAACCCAUUGGAACCCAUUUUUGCCCAGGAGAUCUCAGAUGGAAGUCUGGAAGUCCUGACUGAAAAAAAUGAAGUGGAAUUCAGAGCAAUUUUUUGCCACUUCUUUCCAAUUCAGUUUUCAGCACGACUACAAAGGGACUUCUUGCUUCAGGCCAGGCUGGAUGAUUUGUGAAGCCACGGAAGUAAAAAUAAAGUAAAGCUGUCCUUCAAGAAACUGAAUAAACUGUUUUGGUUGAGUGUGUGGUUUUCUAAAUACAUGCAGAAAGAUGUAUACCCCAAACAUGUAUUUAGCAGAAUGGAUUUUGUUAAUGUCAAUAGCUAAAUACCAUAUUGGUUUGUUUUAUCAGCAUGCACAAUACUUACUUUUUAAAUGAUUCCAUCACUGUAUGUGGUUUAUGUAAAGCAAGUAAACUGAGAUUUCAUGUAAUUACAGUAAUUAAAAAGAGAGGUGGACAGGGCAGACUAUUUGUUAUACCAUGUAUGAUAAGAAGAUAGAGGCACCAUUCAAAGAGUUAUGACUUGUUAGUGAGUAGUAGACUCUUGAAAUUGUCAAGAAGUGUUGUUUGAAAAAAACAAAUGAAGAGAAGCAGAUAAAAUCAUCUAUUAUUAACUAAUGUAAGCAUAUGAAUUUCAGCGUGCAGCAUGCUUGCUACCGAUAGUCAUGGUGCAUUGUUACAGUGAAUUAAUAACAUUGUCACAAUGGAUAAUAUCACAUUUUCUGGCUAUACAAGUGAAAGGAAAACUAUCAGAAUUUCACAAUAACAGAGAAGCUUUGAAAUUAAAAUAAUAAUAAUAAAAGCCUACAAACUCACCACCAUUAAGUUACAUUCUUGAGUGGUGGGCAGUAUAACCUUGGCCUACUAUAGUAAAUGAAAGAGCACCAACCUGUUUGUAGGAGAUACGUGUUUUGCAUGCAUAUCUUAGUUGAUUUUAAUCUUUCUGAUUGAAUUUAGGGUGAAUAUUAAAAGCAAACUCAUAAUUUUUUGCACUUGAUAUUUCCAGUGGAAGGAGCACUGCCUAGUACAAUAUCUUCUAAUAAAAUAAAAUAAAAAUUCAUAAUUAUAAAUAAAAUAAAAAUUCAUAGUUGACUUCAGCUUCUCAACAGUGUCUAUGAAAUUUACUCCUAUUUGGUUUGUCUUUCUUCAUCACUGCCAAAAUAGAUCCUUUGUAUCUGUAUCUACAAUAAUGUACACCAUCUCCCUCAUAGGUACUGAACAUCCUAGACACCUCCAAAUCAAUCAUAAAUUAGUGAGGCAAAGUUAGUUAAUUUAAGUGAGUUUAAGCAAUGAUAACUUAAUGGAGGGACUUGUAAACCACAGCAGAAAUGUAAUGUUUAUGGAUUUUUUACAUAAAUGGAAGAAAAACAGGAUUUUUCAAUUUCUUCUGGGAAAAAAAAAACAGCAACAACAACCAUGAAGUGAAAAUGAGAACAUGGGAAGGGAGCAGUGCAGUGCUGAUUUGUCCUCUCACAGCCACAGCACUUAUUUAGAUGCAUCAAGACUCACACGUAUUGCACAUUACAUGCGCUUCUGUCGCUUGCUGAGUAAAAUGCAGUGAUUGUCGAUAUUAGUAUUUCAACCUGUCUAAUGGCAAACCCCAAAAAAACCAAAACUCUGGAUGAAGGAAGAGUGUUAAACAAAAAAUGGUCAGAUUAGUAAUUUUUUUUUCAAGACAAAUAAUAUGGCACUCUGCUUAAUUUGCAAGGAAAUGAUGUCAGAUUUCAAACAAUACCAUUUGAAAAGAUAUUAAGUGCAGAAACAUGCUGACAAAUUCAAUGAAUAUCAAAGAAUGCCUCAUAAAGACAAAACAGUGGAACUGAAAACAAAGUCUAUCACCUCAACGCAAGCUUUUUUAAAAAGUUAAAUGGACUGUUGUAAAAGCUAGUGACAUGGUAACAAAUCUGAUGGCAAAAAAUCAAAACCAUUUACUGAUGGUGAGUUUAUUAAGCAGUGAAAGAAAAGCAUGACAGAUAUAAUGUGUCCUCAUAAAAAAUGGACUUUUCUAAUAUCAGUUUGUCUCACCAGACUGUAGCUAGGUGAACUUAAGAAACAGGAAAAUCUAUUGAGAGAAAUUCGGUGAUAGACAAAAGUACGGAUGCUACAGAUAUUGCUCAACUUGCCAUUUUCAUUAGAGGUAUUGGUAAUGAACAUAACGUCACUGAAGAAAUGGCUUCUGUGGUUCUGCUGAAAGACACAACUAAAUCUCCUUAUUUGUUUGAAGCAGUAGAAAAAUAUGUUAAAGCCAUUUUCUUUAACCUUUGUCAACAUAUCUGGUGUAGCUACUGAUGGUGCUCCAUGGAUGGUCAGUAAAAAAGAGGGACUUUAUAAAAUUAAUAGAAGAUGAUGCAAUUGCUGCUUGCGACUCACAUUUGAUGAAAUAUCAAUAUUAUACAUCAAGAAAAUUUAUUUGUGAAAGCUGUAAAAAUGGAUGAUGUCUUGAAAAUCAUCAUUAAAGCCGUGAAUUUCAUAAAGUCCAAGGGAUUGAACGAUCAUCAGUUCCAGGAGUUCCUUAAAUGUAUGGGUAUUGGUUAUGAGGACAUCUACUUUUCUGAAGGAAAGUGGCUAAGCCAGGGUAAAAUGCUAAAAAGACUUUACUAUUUCUGAAAUGAAAUAAAGUCCUUUAUGGAAUUAAAAGGAAAAUUUGUGCCAUAAGGUGAAGAUAAAAAAAUGGCACACAGAUUUAGCAUUUUUUUGUGGAUAUGACUGUUCAUUUAAAUGAGCUAAACAUGUAUCUUCAAGGUGAAAAUAAACUUACCUGUGCUAUGUUUCAAACCAUAACAGCAUUUGAAAUGAAAUGUAAAUUAUGGCAAGCUCAAGUUAUGGCAAAUAAUUUAAUGCAUUUUGAUGUGUUGGCUAAACGCAGCCCUGUGCUGUGCAAAAAACAGCAAAAAAUACUCAGCCUUGCUUUCAGUUUUGAUAAAGGAAUUUAAGAACAGGUUUGAAGAUUUCCAAAAAAGUCAUUAAUUUUUUUGUAUAUUUGCAACCUUGUUUUCAGUUGACAUAAGUACAUUAGCUGUGAAUUUUCAAGUAUGAUGUAUGGAGUUGCAAGGAGACAUUCAGCUCAAAGAAAAAUUUGGUCAUGUCUCUUUACUGGUCUGUUAUAACAGAGAAAAAUGUUCAUUGCUUGACAAUCAUGCCUUGUUCAUGUCAUCACUUUUUGGCGGUAUGUACAUUUGUGAACAGUUGUUGUCAAGGAUGAAGCAUGGGAAGAGUAACAUUUCAUCAAAAAUAUCUGACAAACACCUUGAGAGCUCACUAACAAUUGCAACCGCUUUCAUUGAACUAAACAUUGAUGCAUUAGUUUCACAAAAACAGGAUCAAAUAUCCUACUAGUUUUAUAUUUGUGUUGCUCUCUGUUUAUAUUUUAAUAAAAAAAAAUUGCAUAAAAAAUAAAU
rnacentral:lncRNA from 1 species